rnacentral:lncRNA from 1 species
UUCAGGACUGGCUGUCGAAGCUUCUGGAGGACAUGGGAUCUCUCCCAUGUUCCCUGACGGGACCUGCUGUGGAGACUUUGAGGGAUUGUGGGUCCGCUUCCACACCAACAGGAGCCUGGUCUCCUCAGGACCCACUGUUGAGGCUUCCGGGGGAUGUGGGGCUGCGUCCACACCAACAGGACCCGCUGUGGAGGACACGGGGUCACAUCCACACCGACAGGACCGCUGUGGAGGACACGGGGUCGCGUCCACACCGACAGGACUGCUGUGGAGGCGGUGGGGCCGCGUCCACACCGACAGGACCCGCUGUGGAGGACGUCGGGUCACGUCCACACCGACAGGACUCCGGCGUUCUCAGGACCCGCCGCGGGAGGAGAAGAAAACCCUGGUCAUAAGAGAGCUGCCCGUGUUUACAAAUUGAAUGGAUGGACGUGGUCGUAUCUCAUCAGUCAGAUUAGAGUGCGGGAUAGAAUGUUCUACUCAGAGAAGUGUGUGGACAAAAGGCACUUUGGACUCCAAGUGAGGACAAACAGAUAAGAAGGCAUCCUGCUGUACGAGACAGGAAUUUGGAGCGCGAGACAAGAGAUGUGCACCUUUCUUUCAUCUUUAUCACAGCUGGUUGAAUAAUCUUUGGUAGGUCACAGAUAUCUCUGUUAAAUGGACCUGCUCUGUGUCCUGCAGGAUCCUUGUGAUGAUGAACUUAGGGGAACAUGUGGCAGAAAGUAUCAGCUUUGCAUAAAUAUCAGAUGACCAAUCUGUUGCAAGACUUGGGGUAGACAAAUGAUUCUAGUCAAGAGAAGGAGAGUUGAACUGAGUUUCCCAGGCCCUGAACUUGCCCGGGUCCUUGCCUCCUGGAAAAGGAAAAGGACAAAAGCCAAAUCGAA